GGACUACUGGGGUAUCUAAUCCUGUUUGCUCCCCACGCUUUCGCGCCUCAGCGUCAGUUGUGGUCCAGUUGGCCGCCUUCGCCACCGGUGUUCUUCCCAAUAUCUACGAAUUUCACCUCUACACUGGGAAUUCCACCAACCUCUCCCACACUCUAGCCUCGAAGUAUCGAGCGCAAUUCCCGGGUUAAGCCCAGGCAUUUCACGCCCGACUAGCGAAGCCGCCUACGCGCCCUUUACGCCCAGUAAUUCCGAACAACGCUAGCCCCCUUCGUAUUACCGCGGCUGCUGGCAC
rnacentral:rRNA from 1 species